AGAAGACUUUAAUGCAUUAAUGGUAUUGCUAUGUCAUAGCAAUUUGUGACAUUAACCAUAGUUCAGCAAUGGAAUAUCAAAGGCAAAAAGUGUUCAUUACAAUUAAAAAGAGGACAUCUCCUUUCCCUCUACCCUUUUAUAGAGCAUCAAAACAAUGGUUCACAAGCCACCCAUUCCGAAAAGAAAUGUUUCAAGCUCACUCUAAUAGUGAAUCAUAUAAGCAUCACCCAUCCUUUUUAGUACACCAUGCAUUGUCAUUUAUUAACAAUUAAUCAUACCCAGAAA
rnacentral:misc_RNA from 1 species